UGCAAGUCGAGCGAACAGAUAAGGAGCUUGCUCCUUUGACGUUAGCGGCGGACGGGUGAGUAACACGUGGGUAACCUACCUAUAAGACUGGGAUAACUUCGGGAAACCGGAGCUAAUACCGGAUAAUAUUUCGAACCGCAUGGUUCGAUAGUGAAAGAUGGUUUUGCUAUCACUUAUAGAUGGACCCGCGCCGUAUUAGCUAGUUGGUAAGGUAACGGCUUACCAAGGCGACGAUACGUAGCCGACCUGAGAGGGUGAUCGGCCACACUGGAACUGAGACACGGUCCAGACUCCUACGGGAGGCAGCAGUAGGGAAUCUUCCGCAAUGGGCGAAAGCCUGACGGAGCAACGCCGCGUGAGUGAUGAAGGUCUUCGGAUCGUAAAACUCUGUUAUUAGGGAAGAACAUACGUGUAAGUAACUGUGCACGUCUUGACGGUACCUAAUCAGAAAGCCACGGCUAACUACGUGCCAGCAGCCGCGGUAAUACGUAGGUGGCAAGCGUUAUCCGGAAUUAUUGGGCGUAAAGCGCGCGUAGGCGGUUUUUUAAGUCUGAUGUGAAAGCCCACGGCUCAACCGUGGAGGGUCAUUGGAAACUGGAAAACUUGAGUGCAGAAGAGGAAAGUGGAAUUCCAUGUGUAGCGGUGAAAUGCGCAGAGAUAUGGAGGAACACCAGUGGCGAAGGCGACUUUCUGGUCUGUAACUGACGCUGAUGUGCGAAAGCGUGGGGAUCAAACAGGAUUAGAUACCCUGGUAGUCCACGCCGUAAACGAUGAGUGCUAAGUGUUAGGGGGUUUCCGCCCCUUAGUGCUGCAGCUAACGCAUUAAGCACUCCGCCUGGGGAGUACGACCGCAAGGUUGAAACUCAAAGGAAUUGACGGGGACCCGCACAAGCGGUGGAGCAUGUGGUUUAAUUCGAAGCAACGCGAAGAACCUUACCAAAUCUUGACAUCCUUUGACAACUCUAGAGAUAGAGCUUUCCCCUUCGGGGGACAAAGUGACAGGUGGUGCAUGGUUGUCGUCAGCUCGUGUCGUGAGAUGUUGGGUUAAGUCCCGCAACGAGCGCAACCCUUAAGCUUAGUUGCCAUCAUUAAGUUGGGCACUCUAAGUUGACUGCCGGUGACAAACCGGAGGAAGGUGGGGAUGACGUCAAAUCAUCAUGCCCCUUAUGAUUUGGGCUACACACGUGCUACAAUGGACAAUACAAAGGGCAGCGAAACCGCGAGGUCAAGCAAAUCCCAUAAAGUUGUUCUCAGUUCGGAUUGUAGUCUGCAACUCGACUACAUGAAGCUGGAAUCGCUAGUAAUCGUAGAUCAGCAUGCUACGGUGAAUACGUUCCCGGGUCUUGUACACACCGCCCGUCACACCACGAGAGUUUGUAACACCCGAAGCCGGUGGAGUAACCAUUGGAGCUAGCC
rnacentral:rRNA from 1 species